rnacentral:rRNA from 1 species
UACGGGGGGGGGCAAGCGUUGUUCGGAAUUACUGGGCGUAAAGGGCUCGUAGGUGGCCAACUAAGUCGAACGUGAAAUCCCCGGGCUCAACCCGGGAACUGCGUCCGAUACUGGGAGGCUUGAAUCCGGGAGAGGGAUGUGGAAUUCCAGGUGUAGCGGUGAAAUGCGUAGAUAUCUGGAGGAACACCGGUGGCGAAGGCGGCAUCCUGGACCGGUAUUGACGCUGAGGCGCGAAAGCUAGGGGGAGCAAACGGG